AUACGGAGGAUGCAAGCGUUAUCCGGAUUUAUUGGGUUUAAAGGGUGCGUAGGCGGAGGAGUAAGUCAGGGGUGAAAUGCCGCAGCUCAACUGCGGAACUGCCUUUGAUACUGCUUUUCUGGAGUUCGGAUGCCGUGGGAGGAAUGGGCAGUGUAGCGGUGAAAUGCAUAGAUAUUGCCCAGAACACCGAUUGCGAAGGCAUCGCACUAAGCCGAGGCUGACGCUGAGGCACGAAAACGUGGGGAUCGAACAGGAUUAGAUACCCUGGUAGUCCAGGCAGUAAGCGGUUAUGACUAGCCUCCGGCAAUAGACCGCCGGUGGCCAAGCGAAAGCGAUAAGUCAUCCACCUGGGGAGUACGACCGCAAGGUUGAAACUCAAAGGAAUUGACUGGG
rnacentral:rRNA from 1 species